rnacentral:lncRNA from 1 species
GACCAGGUCUUCGGCUGUGCGCUGGCCACAUUGUGCGCGCGUGAGAAGAGCUCCGUGCCACGCUUCGUGCAGCAGUGCGUGCACGCCGUCGAGGCCCGGGGGCUGGACACGGACGGGCUGUACCGCAUCAGCGGGAACCUGGCCACCAUCCAGAAGCUCCGCUACCACGUGGACCACGAUGAGCGCCUGGACCUGGAUGACGGCCGCUGGACUGACGUCCACGUGCUCACCGGCGCGCUCAAGCUCUUCCUGCGCGAGCUGCCUGAGCCGCUCUUCCCCUUCUCGCACUUCAGCCAGUUCCUCGCAGCCAUCAAGCUGCAGGACCCAGCCCGGCGCGGCCGCUGCGUGCGGGACCUGGUGCGCUCGCUGCCCACUCCGAACCAUGACACUCUGCAGCUGCUGUUCCAGCACCUGCGCCGGGUGGUGGAACAGGGGGAGCAGAACCGCAUGUCAGUGCAGAGUGUGGCCAUCGUGUUCGGGCCCACUCUGCUGCGGCCCGAGACAGAGGAGGGCAGCAUGCCCAUGACCAUGGUGUUCCAGAACCAGGUGGUGGAGCUCAUCCUGCAGCAGUGCGCAGACAUCUUCCCGCCACCCUGAUGGCUGCCACCCACCCUUGUUGCCGCGGGGAGGCGCCUGGCCAGAGCCCUGUGCAGGUAACCAGGAAGAGCCUGACAGGACCAUGUGACCUCCAGUCUAAGCCUCCCUGGCCCAGGAUGAAGAACUGGCUUCAUCUGCCUUCCUGUCUGUGGAUCCACAUCGGGAUCCAGUCAGUCCACUGUGUCCUGGGCAAGGUUUUUUCACACCCAUGAGCUGCGAGCCCUGGGCCUGCUAUAGAGGAGCUCUGUCAAUACAGAGCCCUGAUGCAGGAAGGAAACCAGCUCUCAAGGCCUCCCUCACCAGGGUGCGGGCUCCAGGGAGGGGACCUGGCCUCUGCCCCCCUUUCCAGCGUGGGCCAGAGAGCAGCCUGCCCCCUGUUCUGGGGGAGGAGCACGUGGCAGGGCCCUCACGCCCCUCUGCCAAGCUGGCCACUGGGGCCUACCUUGCCACAGCGCUGGGAGGGGCCUGGGGGGGACAGCCUCCGGAAAGGAGGGGUGCACCUGCCUAUCCUCAUGCACAAACCGCGGAGGCUGUGGAUCUCAGGCCCCGCCUCCCCCUUCAUGGCUCAGUGAACAAUAGUAGCUCAUUGCAUUGAGCAUCCACACCAGGCCACGCAUCCUGCCCCAGUUACCUUUGUGUCCCUUGCAGUCGGUAUUUAUUGUGUUCUUGUGUGCCAGGCACAUGCUGUCUGCCCCAUGGAGCUGGGGUCCAGGCAAGAGAUGGAGACCUCCUACCAUGCAUCUAAAUAUUUAAAAGAUGCAAAUCAAGCCAAGAACUGU